rnacentral:rRNA from 1 species
GACGAACGCUGGCGGCGUGCCUAAUACAUGCAAGUAGAACGCACAGUUUAUACCGUAGCUUGCUACACCAUAGACUGUGAGUUGCGAACGGGUGAGUAACGCGUAGGUAACCUGCCUGGUAGCGGGGGAUAACUAUUGGAAACGAUAGCUAAUACCGCAUAAUAUUGAUUAUUGCAUGAUAAUUAAUUGAAAGGUGCAAUUGCACCACUACCAGAUGGACCUGCGUUGUAUUAGCUAGUAGGUGAGGUAACGGCUCACCUAGGCGACGAUACAUAGCCGACCUGGGAGGGUGAUCGGCCACACUGGGACUGAGACACGGCCCAGACUCCUACGGGAGGCAGCAGUAGGGAAUCUUCGGCAAUGGACGAAAGUCUGACCGAGCAACGCCGCGUGAGUGAAGAAGGUUUUCGGAUCGUAAAGCUCUGUUGUAAGAGAAGAACGGGUGUGAGAGUGGAAAGUUCACACUGUGACGUUAUCUUACCAGAAAGGGACGGCUAACUACGUG